rnacentral:tRNA from 1 species
GGUAAUAUAUUUUAUUUAGAAUACUUAGUUUGCAUCUAAGAGGAAGCUUAAACUUAUUACCA